rnacentral:rRNA from 1 species
GAUGAACGCUAGCGGCAGGCUUAAUACAUGCAAGUCGAGGGGCAGCAUGAUUGUAGCAAUACAAUUGAUGGCGACCGGCAAACGGGUGCGGAACACGUACACAACCUCCCAAUAAGUGGGGAAUAGCCCAGAGAAAUUUGGAUUAAUACCCCGUAACAUAACGAUGUGGCAUCACAUUGUUAUUAUAGAUUUUUCGCUUAUUGAUGGGUGUGCGGCUGAUUAGAUAGUUGGCGGGGUAACGGCCCACCAAGUCGACGAUCAGUAGCUGAUGUGAGAGGAGGAUCAGCCACACGGGCACUGAGAAACGGGCCCGACUCCUACGGGAGGCAGCAGUAAGGAAUAUUGGACAAUGGACGCAAGUCUGAUCCAGCCAUGCCGCGUGAAGGAUUAAGGUCCUCUGGAUUGUAAACUUCUUUUAUAAGGGACGAAAAAAGGCUUUUCUAAGUCGUCUGACGGUACCUUAUGAAUAAGCACCGGCUAACUCCGUGCCAGCAGCCGCCGUAACAC